rnacentral:lncRNA from 1 species
UUCGGUUGUGAGGGUGUCCAGGGGUCGUGGGUGCGGCUAAUGCCUAUGUAUGUGGCCGCACUUGACACUGCCCUCUCUUUAAGGGCACAUAUCAUUUUUUAUAACUCUGCUAUCUUUUCCCAAGUCUUUAUUAUCUUGCCUAGCCUUGUAUUGAUAUGUAUUGUUUGAUGCUAAUUACCCAAGUUAGUGCAUGAUGUUAAGGAUAACCUGAGAACACUUUCCUAAGUUUAUAAGUUAUGACAUGUGACAGUUCAAACCUGAUUUGAUGCUGUACUGUGCUUCUCUAGUUGUUUGAAUGCUUCUGCUGCUAGCCUGCUAGACUGCUACUAGCUUGAAUAGGUGUGCACUUGUGCUGGUGGUGGUGCUGCUUGUGUUGCUGCUGCUAAUUUAAUGCUUAUACUCACGCCGUUGUUGAUUAAAUUCUUAUGUUGUUGUUGCAUGCUCAUUUUAUUGAUUCAAUGCUUUAGAAAUUAAUUGAAAUGAACCUGAUUCAAUGCUAACGAUUUCUCCAACUUGCCAAAAUUGUCAUAAUUGUCUCCUGCCUUGUGAUGUUAGUCUCUGUGCACUUACUACUAUUGUUAGUUGAAUGGAUGGUCGUGGUAGUAGAAUAGGAAUUUUCUUUAGGUUAGCGUUAUAGUGAUGUUCAUUUCAUUACCUAAACUUUGUACCAAUGUACCAUGCAGGUAUGUAUAGAUUAUUAUUGUAGAACAACAUCAGGUUAAUCUGUUGCAUUCAAGUUGUUGGAAGUUUUGUUAUGCCAUGCUUAGUGUUUACUGAAUUGGGGCAUUUGGGCAUGUAUGUAUAAAUUUUAGCCUCUUGAGAGAAUAUUAUUUACUUCCAGUGUAUUUCACUAAUAACUUAUCUGGAUCAGGAUCUAAUGUUGUCGAGGUUGCUGCUGCUGUGACAGAAGAUCAGAAGAAGCUUGGAGAUGCGCGCCAUAGUUUUAGUUGAUGUUGCCACCAAGUUUUGGUGCUUGUGUAUCUGUUUUUGAUUGUAUGUGCACUUGUUGGAUGUGCAAACGUGUAUGUG